UACGUAGGGGGCAAGCGUUGUCCGGAAUUAUUGGGCGUAAAGCGCGCGCAGGCGGACUUGUAAGUCUGGUGUCUAAGACUGGGGCUCAACCCUGGAACGCACCGGAAACUGCAAGACUGGAGUGCAGGAGAGGAAAGUGGAAUUCCACGUGUAGCGGUGAAAUGCGUAGAGAUGUGGAGGAACACCAGUGGCGAAGGCGACUUUCUGGCCUGUAACUGACGCUGAGGCGCGAAAACGUGGGGAGCAAACAGG
rnacentral:rRNA from 1 species